UCUCCGUAGGUGAACCUGCGGAGGGAUCAUUACAGAGUUCUCGCCCUCGCAGGUAGAUCUCCCACCCACUGUUAUCGUUACUGUGUUGCUUUGGCGGGCCGCCGGGCCCCGCUCGGCCGCCGGCUCCGGCUGGCGCGCGCCCGCCAGAGGCCCAGCAAACUCUGAAUGUUAGUGUCAUCUGAGUACUAUAUAAUAGUUAAAACUUUCAACAACGGAUCUCUUGGUUCUG
rnacentral:misc_RNA from 1 species